rnacentral:tRNA from 1 species
AUCUUGGUAGCUUAAAAUUAAAGCAUUAGACUUGUAAACUAAAAACGGGCAAACCACUCCCCCCAAGAUC